rfam:Triticum aestivum genome assembly, contig: Triticum_aestivum_CS42_TGACv1_scaffold_499761_6BL
CAUGUACUCCCUCCGUCCGGAAUUACUUGUCGCUAAAAUGGACGUAUCUAAAACUAAAAUACAUCUAAAUACAUCCAUUUCCGUGACAAGUAAUUCGAGACGGAGGAAGUAUAUG